rnacentral:lncRNA from 1 species
AUGAAGAAUCAGCCCCAGAUCCACUCAGAUUCCCAGAGAUGGGCUCCAGCCAGGGAGGGCGGGGUUCUUUCUGGACCCUCACGAGUCACGGGGUGCCGAGGCAGAGACAGAGCUGUGUGGCAGGGAGUGGAUCUUCACCCAUCACCGUGCCUCCACCUGACUCAAACGGACCAUGUCCCAGCACCUGCUUCUCCCGCUUGUGAUCCUUGGUAAGCUCGGGGACAGGGCAUGGCUGCAAAGGGCCUGGGUCCUAGCCUCUGGGGAGCUGGAAAGCAGGACUCCAGGGGUCCACCUGGGGAGUAGGGUGUCAGAGGAGGACACCAGAAGAAGAUGAGAGAGAGGUGUCGGGAGGGGCAAGAGGAAUAGCCUCUGAGAAGAAGGGGCAUGGAGGUCUGGAUGCCAUGCGGAGAUGGAGUACUUGCAAAGUUUGGGGGAGGGGGCCAUGGAGGGCACAUCGUCCUAACUGUAGGUCUCCAGCCUCUUCCUGCCUCCAUCUCUCCAGCCAUCAGCCCCAUCCCGGGAGCCUUCCAGGACUCAGGUAAGGCAAUGCCACUGGGGGAACAUCACCGGCAGAGGCAGAAAAGAUGGGACGGGUAGCCUGGGUGCUGGC